UAGAGUUUGAUCCUGGCUCAGAACGAACGCUGGCGGCAUGCCUAACACAUGCAAGUCGAACGAACCCUUCGGGGUGAGUGGCGCACGGGUGCGUAACGCGUGGGAACCUGCCCUUAGGUUCGGAAUAACAGCGAGAAAUUGCUGCUAAUACCGGAUAAUGUCUUCGGACCAAAGAUUUAUCGCCUUUGGAUGGGCCCGCGUUGGAUUAGCUAGUUGGUGAGGUAAAGGCUCACCAAGGCGACGAUCCAUAGCUGGUCUUAGAGGAUGAUCAGCCACACUGGGACUGAGACACGGCCCAGACUCCUACGGGAGGCAGCAGUGGGGAAUAUUGGACAAUGGGCGAAAGCCUGAUCCAGCAAUGCCGCGUGAGUGAUGAAGGCCUUAGGGUUGUAAAGCUCUUUUACCAGGGAUGAUAAUGACAGUACCUGGAGAAUAAGCUCCGGCUAACUCCGUGCCAGCAGCCGCGGUAAUACGGAGGGAGCUAGCGUUGUUCGGAAAUACUGGGCGUAAAGCGAACGUAGGCGGUCUAGUAAGUCAGGGGUGAAAUCCCGGAGCUCAACUCCGGAACUGCCCUUGAAACUACUAAACUAGAAUCCUGGAGAGGUCAGUGGAAUUCCGAGUGUAGAGGUGAAAUUCGUAGAUAUUCGGAAGAACACCAGUGGCGAAGGCGACUGACUGGACAGGUAUUGACGCUGAGGUUCGAAAGCGUGGGGAGCAAACAGGAUUAGAUACCCUGGUAGUCCACGCCGUAAACGAUGAUAACUAGCUGUCCGGGCUCAUAGAGCUUGGGUGGCGCAGCUAACGCAUUAAGUUAUCCGCCUGGGGAGUACGGUCGCAAGAUUAAAACUCAAAGGAAUUGACGGGGGCCUGCACAAGCGGUGGAGCAUGCGGUUUAAUUCGAAGCAACGCGCAGAACCUUACCAGCCUUUGACAUCCUUCGGCGGUUACGAGAGAUCGUUUCCUUCCUUCGGGACGAAGUGACAGGUGCUGCAUGGCUGUCGUCAGCUCGUGUCGUGAGAUGUUGGGUUAAGUCCCGCAACGAGCGCAACCCUCAUCCUUAGUUGCCAUCAUUUAGUUGGGCACUUUAAG
rnacentral:rRNA from 1 species